CUGCGUCCAUCGUCCCUCAGGCCCAACAACUUGCACGGCGUUUCAAAGUCGUUUUUCCCGGAGUCUAUAAUUACGCCUCGGGAGGGGGCAGCCCCGCUGCAUUCCAGAACUGGGACAGGCCUCAGCAGCCAGCACAGUCUUUUUGAUCUCCAAGAAAAGUGGCUGCCCUUUCCGACGUAACCUCUUACCACCUUCCCAUCGCUGGGCCAGUGCUGUAGCUCCGAUGCUGGUGCGCCCAGGAGGAAAGAACAGAAAGAAAGAAAGACAGACAGAAAGGCAGGAAGAAGGAAAGAAAGAAAGAAAAAGAAAGAGAAAGAAAGAGAAAGAAAGAGAAAGAAAGAAGGAAGGAAGGAAGGAAGGAAGGAAGGAAGGAAGGAAGGAGAGAAAAGGAAGAAAG
rnacentral:lncRNA from 1 species